rnacentral:rRNA from 1 species
AUUGAACGCUGGCGGCAUGCCUUACACAUGCAAGUCGAACGGUAACAGGUCUUCGGAUGCUGACGAGUGGCGAACGGGUGAGUAAUACAUCGGAACGUGCCCGAGAGUGGGGGAUAACGAGGCGAAAGCUUUGCUAAUACCGCAUACGAUCUCAGGAUGAAAGCAGGGGACCGCAAGGCCUUGCGCUCACGGAGCGGCCGAUGGCAGAUUAGGUAGUUGGUGGGAUAAAAGCUUACCAAGCCAACGAUCUGUAGCUGGUCUGAGAGGACGACCAGCGACACUGGGACUGAGACACGGCCCAGACUCCUACGGGAGGCAGCAGUGGGGAAUUUUGGACAAUGGGCGCAAGCCUGAUUCAGCCAUGCCGCGUGCAGGAUGAAGGCCUUCGGGUUGUAAACUGCUUUUGUACGGAACGAAAAGACUCUGGUUAAUACCUGGGGUCCAUGACGGUACCGUAAGAAUAAGCACCGGCUAACUACGUGCCAGCCGCCGCCGUAAUAC